rnacentral:rRNA from 1 species
AUUGAACGCUGGCGGCAGGCCUGACACAUGCAAGUCGAGCGGAUGAGGAGAGCUUGCUCUCUGAUUCAGCGGCGGACGGGUGAGUAAUGCCUAGGAAUCUGCCUGGUAGUGGGGGACAACGUUUCGAAAGGAACGCUAAUACCGCAUACGUCCUACGGGAGAAAGUGGGGGAUCUUCGGACCUCACGCUAUCAGAUGAGCCUAGGUACGAUUAGCUAGUUGGUGAGGUAAAGGCUCACCAAGGCGACGAUCGUUAACUGGUCCGAGAGGAUGAUCAGUCACACUGGAACUGAGACACGGUCCGGACUCCUACGGGAGGCAGCAGUGGGGAAUAUUGGACAAUGGGCGAAAGCCUGAUCCAGCCAUGCCGCGUGUGUGAAGAAGGUCUUCGGAUUGUAAAGCACUUUAAGUUGGGAGGGAGGACAGUAAGUUAAUACCUUGCUGUUUUGACGUUACCGACAGAAUAAGCACCGGCUAACUUCGUGCCAGCCGCCGCCGUAAGAC